AGAAUAUACACUAGUGACAAACUUUACAGCUGUACAGUGUGUGAAAAACGGUUUAGAGAAAAGGAUCAUUUAAAAGCACAUGAAAGAAUACACACUGGGGAGAAACCUUACACUUGUACAGUGUGUGGAAAACAGUUUGCGAAAAAUAGUGAUUUAAAAAUACAUGAAAGAAUACACACUGGGGAGAAACCUUACAGUUGUACAGGGUGUGAAAGACAGUUUGGAAGAAAGGGUCAUUUAAAAAUAGAUGAAAGAAUACACACUGGGGGGAAAAGUUGUACAGUGUGUGCAGAACAGUUUGGAAUAAAGGGUCAAUUAAAAAUACAUGAAAGAAUACACACUGAGGUGAAUCUUUACAGUUGUUCAGUGUGUGAAAAACAUUUUGGAAAAAAUGGUGAAUUAAAAAUACAUGAAAGAAUACACACUGUAGAGAAACCUUACAGUUGUACAGUAUGUCAAAAAAAGGUUUGGAAGAAAUAGUGAUUUAAAAAUACAUGAAAGAAUACACACUGGGGUGAAACCUUACAAUUAUACAGUGUUUGAAAAACAGUUGGAACAAACAGUCAUUUAAAAGUGCAUGAAAGAAUGCACACUGAGGCGAAACCUUACAGUUGUACAGUGUGUGAAAAAAGGUUUGGAAAAUUGGAAAAAGGACAAUUUUAAAAUACAUUAAAGAAUACACAUUCAGGAGAAACAGUUGUAAAGUAUGUGGAAAAACAGUUUAGAAGAAAUAGUGAAUUAAAAAUACAUGAAAGAAUACACACUGGGGUGAAACCUUACAGUUGUAUAGUGUGUGGAAAACAGUUUGGACGUAAUUCUAAUUUACAAUAUCAUAAAAUAUUACAAACUGGAGGGAAACAGUUGUAAAGUGUGUGGAAAACAGGUUAGAAGAAAGGAUCAAUUAAAUGUACAUGAAAGAAUGCACAGUGUGUGAAAAACAGUUUGUAACAAUGAGUGCUUUAAGAAUACCCAAAAGUACACACACUGAGGAAAAACUGUAUUGUUGUUUGAAUUGACGAAAACAGAUUGGGGAAAAAAAGUCACUUAAAACAACAUAAAAAACACACACUAGGGAGAAUGCUUGUAGUUGUACAAUGUGUGGAAAAAACUUUAGAUAAAAUGGUUCCUUAAAAUAUCAUGAAUGUAUACAUACUGGAUAGAAACCCAGAAGUUUUAAGUUUUGUAGAAAGCUAUUUCAAAAUAACUCUUAACUUAAGAAAUCACAAUGAAUGCAUGCUGGGGUGAAACCUUACAGUUGUGUGGUAUGUAAUAAAGAGCUUAAAACAAAUAGUGUAUGGAAAUAUCAUAAAGGAAUACAUACUGUAGAGAUAACUUACAGUUUUUCAGUUUAUUGAAAACAGUUUGCAACUAACAAUAGAUUAAAAACACAAAUUUGAGAGAAAUUAUACUGUUGUCUACUGUGUUGUGAAUAACUUGGAACAAACAGUAACUACAAGUGAAUGUGGUAGUUGUUUAUAAGUUGUUGAACAACAAGAGACAAGAUUUAUGUGUACAGACCUGUCUUUGGAGUGUUUUUGAUACCUGUAAUUGGGAGUUAUUCUGUGUUAGUGUUGAGAUGAUAAAGUGACAACAAAAGAAAUUUAACAAUUCAUUAGAACCAGUAUCUGUAUAUUAAUAUUCCAGCAUAUACUGAGAAUGUGCUGCUAUGAUUGAUUAUCACGUAUUUCAGUAAACACUUACAGCCUUCUGGGACUUGAAUGUUGAAGAAAGUGAUCAUUGAGUUUGUACUGAGAUUAUUGUGUUAUAAACAUGAUAAAAAUAAAUAGAAUAUUGAUAAACACUUUAA
rnacentral:lncRNA from 1 species